rnacentral:rRNA from 1 species
AAGCUCGUAGUUGAAUUUCGGGGUUAGUAGGUUGGUCAUGCCUCUGGUAUGUACUGGUCUCACUGAUUCCUCCUUCCUUAUGAACCGUAAUGCCAUUAAUUUGGUGUUGCGGGGAAUUUGGACUGUUACUUUGAAAAAAUUAGAGUGUUUAAAGCAAGCUAACGCUUGAAUACAUUAGCAUGGAAUAAUGAGAUAGGACGUUCGAUCUUAUUUUGUUUGGUUUCUAGGAUUGACGUAAUGAUUAAUAGGGAUAGUUGGG